AUGCACGCUGGCGGCGUGCCUAAUACAUGCAAGUCGAGCGCACAGACGAGGAGCUUGCUCCUCUGACGUUAGCGGCGGACGGGUGAGUAACACGUGGAUAACCUACCUAUAAGACUGGGAUAACUUCGGGAAACCGGAGCUAAUACCGGAUAAUAUAUUGAACCGCAUGGUUCAAUAGUGAAAGACGGUUUUGCUGUCACUUAUAGAUGGAUCCGCGCCGCAUUAGCUAGUUGGUAAGGUAACGGCUUACCAAGGCGACGAUGCGUAGCCGACCUGAGAGGGUGAUCGGCCACACUGGAACUGAGACACGGUCCAGACUCCUACGGGAGGCAGCAGUAGGGAAUCUUCCGCAAUGGGCGAAAGCCUGACGGAGCAACGCCGCGUGAGUGAUGAAGGUCUUCGGAUCGUAAAACUCUGUUAUUAGGGAAGAACAAAUGUGUAAGUAACUAUGCACGUCUUGACGGUACCUAAUCAGAAAGCCACGGCUAACUACGUG
rnacentral:rRNA from 1 species